ensembl:lncRNA
UACGUCUCGGGGGCGCGCUCUCCACCGUCGUGACGUCACGGAAGCGCCCGAGCAGCGGGGAAGCCGCCAGUGGCAGAGACUAGAGCUGGCGAGAGACGGGGAAGGAGGGAGAGACGGGAGACGGGAGACGGACACGAGACCGGAGGACAAGCCCGACCCGAAAAAGACAGAGAGACACACCAGCGCCGCGCCCUCGGCCGGCCGUCGGUUUACGCUACGAAGCGUCGCUCGGACGUUUGACAGCAGCACGUUGUGGAGCCUCAGCGGCACGUUGGCCGCAUUCGCACCUGCAGGCAGCAGCCCAGAUCAGAUAAGUGUGCUUUCGUGGAUGAGAUCCCUUCACCCCGAGCCUCUUGGAUUUACUUCAUCCAAAAGGAAGUCCCAUCGAUUCCCGCUUUCCGACAAAGCACAUUAAUUCCAGUGAGCUUUUUUCUUUUGGAAAGGCCUUAAUCAC